rnacentral:rRNA from 1 species
UACGGAGGGGGCUAGCGUUGUUCGGAAUUACUGGGCGUAAAGCGCACGUAGGCGGCUUUGUAAGUUAGAGGUGAAAGCCCAGGGCUCAACUCUGGAACUGCCUUUGAUACUGUCGAUCUAGAGUAUGGAAGAGGUGAGUGGAAUUCCGAGUGUAGAGGUGAAAUUCGUAGAUAUUCGGAGGAACACCAGUGGCGAAGGCGGCUCACUGGUCCAUUACUGACGCUGAGGUGCGAAAGCGUGGGGAGCAAACAGG